CUAGGCAAGAAGAACGAAAUCCAACACCAUAGCUGGAAAGAGCAUCUUAAAAUGAGUAAAAUUGCAAACUUUAGUUGCUAAACGUUGUAAAAUGAGGAAAAUAUAGCCCUGUGAAGUUCGCAAAUUUUGUACAUAUUUGUAUUACGCGCGGGAAAAUACAAAUAUAUACAAAAUUUGCGAACUUCACAGGGCUAUAUUCUCUUCAUUUAGCAACCAAUCUUUGCAGUUUUACUCAUUCUAAGAUGCCCUUUCCAGCUGUGGUAUUGGAUUUCGUUCUUCUUGCCUAG
rnacentral:miRNA from 1 species